UAGACAGCGGAUUUUCGUCGUCAAAGUACUAGGCUUAAAACUGUAAAAAAUGUGGCAGCAUCUUAAAUGACAAAACCGGAGCAGAAUUGACGAUAAAAAUGGUUGCGACUUCAACCUAGACGGUGUGAAUGGGAUUGAGUACGGUUUUACGAAGUUCUUUUUAUCCAGUUUAAGUUGAUAAAACAGGUUUCUUAAAGGACCCAGCAGCAGCGUGACCGCGCCGGACAGAUCGAAAUAUACCAUUUAUUCCUCAAAAAUAUUCUAACGAAAGCCGCCCAAAUAGAGCUUUCGAUCCUCUAGCCAGUUGGCAACGCGAGCAGCUGCGCAAUAAGGCACCGAACUCAAAACGAGCUAAGCUGCGCAAUCCCGAGAAUCUGACAGCCAGGAUGCCUGGUCUCUCUGAUUCUUCUCUUGUUCUUCGCCCGACUUCCUGAAAAACAACACGCCGGAUCGGCGAAAAUAAAGUCAAGGAAAUAAUGCCGAAAUACUCGUGUGAUCAUUGGGUGGCUUAGACGGGGAAGUUGGCAGAGAGUUCUUGGCAGCCACACCUUCAAA